CAAUAGCGUAUAUUAAAGUUGUUGCAGUUAAAAAGCUCGUAGUCGGAUUUUGGCAUCAUGCCGAACUGUCAGCCGAUUGGUUUGUACGGUUUGGCGGGUGCUCUCCUUCCGGAGGCUCGUUUCCUCUUUCAUUGAAGGGUUCGUAGUUCGGGUUCCGGUUUACUUUUAUUAGAAAAAUUAGAGUGUUCAAAGCAGGCCUAUGCUCUGAAUAGGUUAGCAUGGAAUAAUAGAAUAGGACUUUGGUUCUAUUUUGUUGGUUUCUAGGACCGAAGUAAUGAUUAAUAGGGACAGUUGGGGGCAUUCAUAUUCCAUUGUCAGAGGUGAAAUUCUUGGAUUAACGGAAGAUGAACUUCUGCGAAAGCAUCUGCCAAGGAUGUUUUCAUUGAUCAAGAACGAAAGUUAGGGGAUCGAAGAUGAUCAGAUACCGU
rnacentral:rRNA from 1 species